CCUUGACAUACUAAGAACUUUCCAGAGAUGGAUUGGUGCCUUCGGGAACUUAGAUACAGGUGCUGCAUGGCUGUCGUCAGCUCGUGUCGUGAGAUGUUGGGUUAAGUCCCGCAACGAGCGCAACCCUUUUCCUUAUUUGCCAGCGGGUCAUGCCGGGAACUUUAAGGAUACUGCCAGUGACAAACUGGAGGAAGGCGGGGACGACGUCAAGUCAUCAUGGCCCUUACGGCUAGGGCUACACACGUGCUACAAUGGUCGGUACAAAGGGUUGCUACCUCGCGAGAGGAUGCUAAUCUCAAAAAGCCGAUCGUAGUCCGGAUCGCAGUCUGCAACUCGACUGCGUGAAGUCGGAAUCGCUAGUAAUCGCGGAUCAGAAUGCCGCGGUGAAUACGUUCCCGGGCCUUGUACACACCGCCCGUCACACCAUGGGAGUUUGUUGCACCAGAAGUAGGUAGUCUAACCGCAAGGAGGACGCUUACCACGGUGUGGCCGAUGACUGGGGUGAAGUCGUAACAAGGUAGGCGUAGAUGA
rnacentral:rRNA from 1 species